rnacentral:tRNA from 1 species
GGCUGUGUGGUCUAGUGGUAUGAUUCUCGCUUAGGGUGCGAGAGGUCCCGAGUUCAAUUCUCGGCACAGCC